GUAAACAUAAGUUAUCUAUUUCAUUUGACCAUUAGUAUUGUUGAUAAAUUGAGGAACAUUUGUGUUGGGUAAAAAGUGAGUGAACACAUCAGCAUCUACCUCAACAUGUAAAUGCAGUAUAUCACAGAUAAAUCACAGAGGAGACUGACUCUUGUCUGGAUGUUACAGGGACAGAUGAGACACACGUGUGUUUAUCUGCUGAAGAGAGACUGAUGAAGGAAUGCUGUCAUCAAAGACUCUCAAUCUUUUGUGAUUGAGCAGGUAACAGCAGGAUUUGUGGAAAAAGUAAAACCUGAAACCAAAAUAUAAAGAUCUGAAAUGUCUGCAGACUGCUGUGUGCACUGAGGAUGGAGAAGUCCACAGCAGCAUCCUGGAAAUGGUCCAGUGUCAUGGGGACCUCAAUCCUGUAAUCCCUGAGUCACCUGGAGUAAAGACACACCGGUGGAGACGACUGCAGAGAUUGAUCCAGCAACCUUCUGCUGACCAGUUCAGUUCACUACCCCACAAAAGUAGUGUGGUGCUCAUGGAGAGCAGCACACAGAUGUUUGGAGCAGACACAGCAGCAGUCAGAUUGUCCCACACAUGUUCUCCUGAUCUUGAUUCAGGGUUGUGUGUUUUAGGAUCUUCAUCAUGGUCUUCCUGAUCCUCUCUGUGCACUCAGACAAGGACAGCCUCGAUGUCCCUCUCUCAUCCAUGAUCAGAUUCAGUCUGACUGCAGCAGUGAGGGACGUGAUGGACGGAUGUGGAUUCACCGUCUGUAAACUUUCAAAAACAGAACAAUGUUUGAAAAAAACUUUGUUUCAAAAUACAGAUAGUAGAUAUUAAACCUGUCGCAGUCAGUCAUAUCUGUGAAGUUGUUGCACUUGUUAUGACGUCAUAGGUCACAUGAUAACGUAAACAUGGCGGAUCGCAUUCAUACUCAACGAGAUUUGGCUUUAGAGUAUGUACUCUUUUAGCGCUCGUUAAGUACUUACUGAAAUUAAGUACCUACUCAUUGAGUAUGUGAUUUCGGACGCAGCCAGAGAGUCCUCGGAUGUUCUUCUUGUUCUUCUUCUUGGUUUUAAUGGCGGUUGGCAUACAAUGUCAAGGUGCAUUACCGCCUCCUGCUGGUUAUGAGUGUUGGCCAAGAUCGCAUAACCCUUUUCCUAAUACCUCCUAAAAACCUAUAUUCUUUUAAAAUUCUUCUAAAUCAGUCAUUUACAGAUAUAACAUUAAAAAUCAAUACAUUCAUCAUUCAUCUUAUUUUUUUUUCAAAUGAAAAAACAAUAUUCUCCUUUCACUAUUAUAUUUAGGACAUUUAAUUAUAAUGUGUUCCACAGUUUCCUUUUGAUUAAUGUUCACAUUUUCCUGUCUGAUGUUUAUGUUUUUGUUCUUUUUCUUUUUUCUUCUUCUUUUAAGGUUUUAUUGAUGGUUGACAAACAACGAAAUGGUGAAUUACCACCACUGACAGGCAUGGAGUGUGGAUCAGCUUUCCCUUGUCUUCUUAUAUCAUCUCACAAAUUAGUUUAUGUAUCUUUGUUCUCUAUUUUAUAUCUUCUCACAAAUUGGUUAUUUUAUGAUACUGAAGCAGAAAACUACAACAAUUAUUUCCUGAAUUGUUUUGUAGAAUAUCAACUGGAUUAAAAUGCAUUUAUAUCUGUAAGAUUGCACCCUGCUAACACACGGCAUAUAGUUACGUAAUGUAUUGAUACUUUUGGGUAAUUUCAUGACUUACUGGCAACGUAACUGCAACAUCGCAUGGGCGUAAUUUCAUUACCAUCAUUUACACAUUUUUCAUAUGCUCUUAUUACUAAACAAUUGCUAUUUUAAAAGUGUAAUUAGACG
ensembl:lncRNA